rnacentral:rRNA from 1 species
UGGGGAAUUUUGGACAAUGGGCGAAAGCCUGAUCCAGCAAUGCCGCGUGUGUGAAGAAGGCCUUCGGGUUGUAAAGCACUUUUGUCCGGAAAGAAAUCCUCUGGGUUAAUACCUCGGGGGGAUGACGGUACCGGAAGAAUAAGCACCGGCUAACUACGUGCCAGCAGCCGCGGUAAUACGUAGGGUGCAAGCGUUAAUCGGAAUUACUGGGCGUAAAGCGUGCGCAGGCGGUUUUGUAAGACGGAUGUGAAAUCCCCGGGCUUAACCUGGGAACUGCAUUCGUGACCGCAAGGCUAGAGUAUGGCAGAGGGGGGUAGAAUUCCACGUGUAGCAGUGAAAUGCGUAGAGAUGUGGAGGAAUACCGAUGGCGAAGGCAGCCCCCUGGGCCAAUACUGACGCUCAUGCACGAAAGCGUGGGGAGCAAACAGGAUUAGAUACCCU